AGAGUUUGAUCCUGGCUCAGAUUGAACGCUGGCGGCAUGCCUAACACAUGCAAGUCGAACGGAAACGAUGGGAGCUUGCUCCCAGGCGUCGAGUGGCGGACGGGUGAGUAAUACUUAGGAAUCUGCCCAUUAGUGGGGGACAACUCGGGGAAACUCGAGCUAAUACCGCAUACGCCCUACGGGGGAAAGCGGAGGACCUUUCGGGGCUUCGCGCUAAUGGAUGAGCCUAAGCCGGAUUAGCUAGUUGGUAGGGUAAAAGCCUACCAAGGCGACGAUCCGUAGCUGGUCUGAGAGGACGAUCAGCCACACUGGGACUGAGACACGGCCCAGACUCCUACGGGAGGCAGCAGUGGGGAAUAUUGGACAAUGGGCGCAAGCCUGAUCCAGCAAUGCCGCGUGUGUGAAGAAGGCCUGCGGGUUGUAAAGCACUUUCAGUAGAGAAGAAAAGUUUAGGGUUAAUACCCCUGAAUCUUGACGUUACCUACAGAAGAAGCUCCGCUAACU
rnacentral:rRNA from 1 species